UUGACCUCGGAUCAGGUAGGACUACCCGCUGAACUUAAGCAUAUCAAUAAGCGGAGGAAAAGAAACCAACAGGGAUUGCCCCAGUAACGGCGAGUGAAGCGGCAACAGCUCAGAUUUGGAAUCUGGCCCCCAGGGCCCGAGUUGUAAUCUGGAGAGGAUGCUUCUGGCGCGGCGCCUUCCGAGUUCCCUGGAACGGGACGCCGGAGAGGGUGAGAGCCCCGUACGGUUGGACGCCUAGCCUUUGUGAAGCUCCUUCGACGAGUCGAGUAGUUUGGGAAUGCUGCUCAAAAUGGGAGGUAAAUUUCUUCUAAAGCUAAAUACCGGCCAGAGACCGAUAGCGCACAAGUAGAGUGAUCGAAAGAUGAAAAGCACUUUGAAAAGAGGGUCAAACAGUACGUGAAAUUGUUGAAAGGGAAG
rnacentral:rRNA from 5 species